rnacentral:rRNA from 1 species
AUUGAACGCUGGCGGCAGGCCUAACACAUGCAAGUCGAGCGGAUGAAGGGAGCUUGCUCCUGUAUUCAGCGGCGGACGGGUGAGUAAUUCCUAGGAAUCUGCCUUGUCUUUGGGGAUAACGUCCGGAAACGGGCGCUAAUACCGCAUCCGUCCUGAUUUAGAAAGUGGUGGAUCUUCGGACCUCACGCUAUCAGAUGAGCCUAGGUCGGAUUAGCUAGUUGGUGGGGUAAAGGCCUACCAAGGCGACGAUCCGUAACUGGUCUGAGAGGAUGAUCAGUCACACUGGAACUGAGACACGGUCCAGACUCCUACGGGAGGCAGCAGUGGGGAAUAUUGGACAAUGGGCGAAAGCCUGAUCCAGCCAUGCCGCGUGUGUGAAGAAGGUCUUCGGAUUGUAAAGCACUUUAAGUUGGGAGGAAGGGAAGUAAGUUAAUACCUUGCUGUUUUGACGGUACCAAAAGAAUAAGCACCGGCUAACCUCGUG